AUUUUUGAAAGUAGGUCCUUAAAAAAACAACGUUUUUUUGCCAGUACCACGAUCCCCUCAAAAACUAUUGGCAGAAUCAAAGAAACCAACUUUGAGGUUUCAUUAUUGUGCUCCCAUAGUGAAAUGUUCUUGGCUUUAAGUGUGAAUGAGUCGUACCUUGGGAAGUGGCUCCAGCAGAAACCCAAGUGCCACGGUAACGAGCAUCGCCAUCAUGGCUGAAACAAGCCCUGCAAUCUACAACAAGAUUUAGUAGUGAAUGUACAGUAUAAAAAGUGUUGGCAAUGACACUGCUGGUCAUACCUGUGUUUUGCCCCCUGAGCUCUCCUGGACAGCUGUCCUGGAGAGAGCAGUGCUAGCGGCGAAUGACCGGAAGCUUCCACCAAACAUGUUGCUAACGCCAAAUGCAAUGAGCUCCUACAAGAAAGAAGAAAGUAUAAAAACUUUAAUUUAGCUAUCAUUAAAUUUUUAUGCAACAUGUGCAAAAAAUAAAACAUUGCAUGGCAUAAUCCUAAAAACUCUGCCACCCCGAUCCUGCGGUAAACUACCCUAAAAUGGCAAUGCUAUACAAAACCUGGCCCAUGUUCCUUGGGGGGAAAAUGGUUAAAACAAACAUUUUUUUGUAAAUGUAUUUUCUCUAACUGACCUGGUUCCCAUCUAUGGUAUAGUCAUGUUUGUUUGAGUAUACUUUGGCCACAGAAAAGGCUACAGCAAAGCCCACUAUGGCAAUAGGAAAAGGCCUCCACUGCACUCUCCUGGAAGACUUCCACACUUGGGGCGAUUGGUGACUCAUACCUGAAUGUAGUGAAAGGAUAGUCAGGUGAGUGUAUACUUUUUUUGUAAGAAACCAAACUUGAAACAAUUUUAAACUAUUAUUUAGUAUCAAUGCAAGGUCUUCCGACGCCUUAAAAACCUCACCAAAAAAUCCUCCAUAUCCUCAUAUUUUUAUGAACUUCACUGAUUCAUAUCAAAGCAGAAUGGUGUUAUAAAUAUUAUCAAUAUUUGUGUUUUUUUUUCCUUAGAAUGUCCAACCUGAGUGUUUGGUAACACAGAAGGUAACAUCUAUCCUGAGCAUUUCUUUACAGACAAGAGACAUCCUUCCUGACUUUGGUUACCGAGAACGCAACAUCCAUCUUCACUGUGGUUACAGGGAAAGUAAAGUCCAUGCCAAGUUUUUGGUUCCAGGGAAGGCAGGUCUGUCGUGACUUAUUGGUUACAGAGACGUCCAUCCUGACUUUGGUCACACAGAAAAUAACGUCCAUCCUGACUUUGGUUACAGAAAAGGUGACGUCCAUCGGUGUUUGGCUACCAAGAGCGUAAGUCCGUCUUUACUGUUUGGUUACAGUGAGGUCCAUUCAGAAUUAGGUUACAGAGAAAGUAAACUCAAUCAUGAGUGUUUGGUCACAGAGAAAGUACAGUAAGUCCGCUUCUACUGUUGCCCAUUCUGACUUUGGUAACAGAAAAAGUCCUAGUCAAAGAUCCGCUGAAUGACAAAUCCAUCCAAUUUUUAAGCGCUACUUUAACUGCAAUUAGUCUUUUUUUUUAUGAUAUUAUCUUCUUUCCCUAACUUUUUUCUUGGAGAAUAAAUUUUUUUUUCGAAGUUCUUCACGUGCACUUUCUAGAUAUUCUCUCUCAAUUUGUGGGACUGAAACUUACCCGCUAAUCAUAUUGCCUACAACUUGAACCUGGUAUGUCUCCUUUACGAUGAACACCACCGCCAUGAUGAUGACGGACAUCACCAUGUCACACACGUUGGAGGAAGUGAUCUGAACAAAGAUUUUCUCCAUAGUCUACAAGACAAGCAAGGUCAUCAAAGUCACAAUUAAUUUAAUUAUGGACAUACCGUACUAUAAAUUACCUGAUUGACA